rnacentral:rRNA from 1 species
CAAGUCGAGCGAGAUUUUUUCCUGUAGCAAUACAGGGAAAAGUCUAGCGGCGAACGGGUGCUUAACACGUGGGCAACCUGCCGAGAAGUGGGGGAUAGCUCGCCGAAAGGCGAAUUAAUACCGCAUGUGAUUAGAGUGGACAUCCAUUCAAAAUCAAAGUCGGGGCAACCUGACGCUUCUUGAGGGGCCCGCGGCCUAUCAGCUAGUUGGUGAGGUAACGGCCCACCAAGGCUUUGACGGGUAGCUGGUCUGAGAGGACGACCAGCCACACCGGGACUGAGACACGGCCCAGACACCUACGGGUGGCAGCAGUCGAGAAUUUUUCUCAAUGGGGGAAACCCUGAAGGAGCGACGCCGCGUGGAGGAUGAAGGUCUUCGGAUUGUAAACUCCUGUCAUUGGGGAACAAGGUGCAUACGUUAACUGCGUGUGCAUUGAUAGUACCCGAAGAGGAAGAGACGGCUAACUCUGUGCCAGCAGCCGCGGUAAUACAGAGGUCUCAAGCGUUGUUCGGAUUCAUUGGGCGUAAAGGGUGCGUAGGCGGCGCGGUAAGUCGGGUGUGAAAUCUCGGGGCUUAACUCCGAAACUGCAUUCGAUACUGCCGUGCUUGAGGACUGGAGAGGGGACUGGAAUUUACGGUGUAGCGGUGAAAUGCGUAGAUAUCGUAAGGAAGACCAGUGGCGAAGGCGGGUCUCUGGACAGUUCCUGACGCUGAGGCACGAAGGCCAGGGGAGCAAACGGGAUUAGAUACCCCGGUAGUCCUGGCAGUAAACGGUGCACGU